GACGAAGGUGGCGAGCGUUGUUCGGAAUCACUGGGCAUAAAGCGCACGUAGGCGGUGCCGUAAGUCAGAUGUGAAAUCCCUCGGCCUAACCGAGGAACUGCGUCUGAUACUGCGGUGCUUGAGGACCAGAGGGGUGCAUGGAAUUUCCGGUGGAGCGGUGAAAUGCGUUGAUAUCGGAAGGAACUCCGGCGGCGAAAGCGAUGCACUGGCUGGUUUCUGACGCUGAGGUGCGAAAGCCAGGGGAGCAAACGGG
rnacentral:rRNA from 1 species